UAAGGAAUAUUGGGCAAUGGGCGAAAGCCUGACCCAGCAACGCCGCGUGGGCGACGAAGGCCUUCGGGUUGUAAAGCCCUUUUCUGGGGGACGAGUGAGGACGGUACCUCAGGAAUAAGUCACGGCUAACUACGUGCCAGCAGCCGCGGUAAUACGUAGGUGGCCAGCGUUAUCCGGAUUUACUGGGCGUAAAGCGCGUGCAGGCGGUUUCGUAAGUCGGACGUGAAAGCUCCUGGCUUAACUGGGAGAGGCCGUUCGAUACUGCGGGGCUUGAGGUCGGGAGAGGGACGUGGAAUUCCCGGUGUAGUGGUGGAAUGCGUAGAUAUCGGGAGGAAUACCAGUGGCGAAGGCGGCGUCCUGGCCCGCACCUGACGCUAAGACGCGAAAGCGUGGGGAGCGAACGGGAUUAGAUACCCCGGUAGUCCACGCUGUAAACUGUGGAUACUAGGUGUUGGUGGCUAUCGUCAUCAGUGCCGUAGCUAACGCGUUAAGUAUCCCGCCUGGGGACUACGGCCGCAAGGCUA
rnacentral:rRNA from 1 species